rnacentral:lncRNA from 1 species
UCUUACAAUACUAAAAGCACAAUAAGCUCAAAAUCUAAGGUGUCCACCUAGGAUUAUUAAUUCCAGCCAAUGGUAAAGCUUUAUCUCUCCACAUCACCAUCGGUUUUGACUAUUUGGUACGUAUCAGAGACUAGAUUUGAAACAUACAAUUGGAUAUAUUUAGUGGGCUUAUAAAAAUAUGUUUAGCCCAUAUCAUCACCACUGCAAUAACUGUCGUAACUCUUUUUUUUCGUCCACAAAACUAUCGUAACCUUAAUUUGCUCUUCUCUUACCUUUCCACUUCCACCUCUUCCAUUACUCUUCUACACUUGCUGGCCACACGUCCUAUAAUCAGAAGCUUAAAGAUAUUUAUCGCAUAUAACUAAUUAUAUUCAAAAGAUCAGAAUUAAA